UUAGUUUUUAUCUGUACACAGGGAAGGAGAGAAGAAACAUAACGGAUGGCGCACAAACUGAGCUUUUUUCCUUUUGUUUUCUUCUUUGUCUCUGCUCGUUUGUGUGCUGCAGUGACGAAGUGGUUAGAGGGGAUCCAUUCCAGCCUGUUGUUGCUUGUUGCGUCAGCGAAGGUAUAGCGCAGGGAAAUUCGUUCGAGUUUGCUUCUGUUUGGCAGUUCUGCUUGCUUCCUGCCGUGGUCCUUCCUGUUAUUGAAUCUGCAAGGAGCGUGGUGCAUAGGC